rnacentral:rRNA from 1 species
UACGAGGGGGGCAAAUGUUGUUCGGAAUCACUGGGCGUAAAGGGAGCGUAGGCGGGUUCUUAAGUAAGGUGUUUAAUCCCGGGGCCCAACCCCGGACCGGCACUUUAAACUGGGAAUCUUGAAUAGUGGAGAGGUCGGUGGAAUUGGGGGUGUAGCGGUGGAAUGCGUAGAGAUCCCCAAGAACACCAGUUGCGAAGGCGGCCGACUGGACACAUAUUGACUGCUGAGGCUCGAAAGCAUGGGGAGCAAACAGG